rnacentral:rRNA from 1 species
GACGAACGCUGGCGGCGUGCCUAACACAUGCAAGUCGAGCGAGUGGAUCUCCUUCGGGAGAGAAGCUAGCGGCGGACGGGUGAGUAACACGUGGGCAACCUGCCUCAUAGAGGGGAAUAGCCUCCCGAAAGGGAGAUUAAUACCGCAUAAGAUUGUAGCUUCGCAUGAAGUAGCAAUUAAAGGAGCAAUCCGCUAUGAGAUGGGCCCGCGGCGCAUUAGCUAGUUGGUGAGGUAACGGCUCACCAAGGCGACGAUGCGUAGCCGACCUGAGAGGGUGGUCGGCCACAUUGGGACUGAGACACGGCCCAGACUCCUACGGGAGGCAGCAGUGGGGAAUAUUGCACAAUGGGGGAAACCCUGAUGCAGCAACGCCGCGUGAGUGAUGACGGCCUUCGGGUUGUAAAGCUCUGUCUUCAGGGACGAUAAUGACGGUACCUGAGGAGGAAGCCACGGCUAACUACGUGCCAGCCGCCGCCGUAACAC